rnacentral:tRNA from 1 species
UGCCUUGUCGUUCAGGGCAAAGUAGAAGGCCCUAGACCUCGUGGAAGGUUGCCCAUGUGAUGGACGGACCAAGUUGAACGGUCGUCUGGUAAGUGACAUGGUCACUACACAAGGGGGUCGCGGGUUCGAAUCCCGCCAAGGGAA